GUUUGAAACCAGAACCUCUUACUCCCGUUCAUUAUACAUGCCUCAUGUCUGCUUUUACUAACUAUUUAUGCACAUGGAAUCAGUAUGAAAGUUGUCCCCUAGAACAGAUCAUUAUAUUCUAGUAUUUCAUUCUCUGUUCUGCUUUACCUUAAAAAAUAACUAAUAUUGGUAAUUUCAUAGAGUAAAAUUUUGGGAAAAGCACACAUGAAUGUAAUAAGCGGAGCUCUGAGUGAUAGAAGUAGCCCACUUUCUUGCUAGUUUGCCUGCUGGCUAAACACUAGAGCACACCUUAUGUGUUAGUGUUUAGACAUGUCAUUCAUUCAGAGUUUGGGACCACUUACACACCAGAUCCCUUUAAAUGGCAGACAAAUCUAAUAGAAUUUAAAAUUGCUGUUCACGGUGGAGAAUCAGUCUGUAUAAAUAACUUCCUUUCACUAGAUGCUGUUUUUGGAAAAUUAAAUUAUUUAGGACAUCAUGAAAGCAGGCUUUGUCAGCAGUGUUUUUCUGUGGCCUUUCACAGAACAAGUACAGACUUGGAAUUGUUAUUAAAUAUACAUUGAAGGAAAACAUAGAGGCUGUGUGAGUGUGUGUGUAAAAAACAAGCUUUGAUUUAAAUUAAGAAAGUAGAAAAGUACAUGGAUGCAUGCUUCUAAAAUGCAAACUGAGCUGUGGACUGGGCUUGGAGCCCAUUGGAAGGGCUCUUGCCAUACAGGUACAUAACCCUAUGUUAAGUUAUAAGAGCGUUUUUUGUGCUGUCAAGUUGAUGAUGUUCAUAUUUGUUUAUUUGUACAUUAAGAAACCAAUUAGCAUGUUUUGUCUUCACUGAAAAAUAAGUGGCUUCUUUUGAAUAUUAAUAUUCUUUGUAAAUUAGGAAUUUCUGCCUAUAUUAUAUAAUAGUAAAAACAUGAGUCAUUAAUUUAAAAUUGCCAUAGCAUGCCGUAAGAGUCACCGUUUCAAAGCCUCAUUUUUGUAAAUUACGUUGUAAUUUUGUAAGUUACGUUGUCACUGAGAAUUAAGGGACAGAGAAGUUUCCUGUGAAUUUGGGUAGAUAGUAAACUGCUCUGUGCAUAAUUGCACAAUAACUUUUUAAGUAAUUUAAAAAGGUGUUCCUUAAAGUGUUGUUCAGUGACCUUUGAGACUGUAAUAGGAUCUCUUGGAAGAUCACGGGGUAGUUGAAUCUGCUGGAGCUUGUAACAGCCAAGGCAGCAUCGAGCCAAUGGAAACAUAAUUGAUACUAAGCAUUAGUGAUACAUAAUUGAUAGUUGGAAAAAAGUAUAGAGUUUCGAUAAGUUAUCUUCUUAGAUUGUGUUUUACUAAAGCCUUCUCAUCUGGAUUUACAUGGUUUGUGUUUGCAAACUAUGACAUCACAGCUCCACCUUGUGGCUAGAAUCCACGGAUGAUAGUCUAAUCUAAACAUGAGAAUCCAAAAACUUGAAUUUCCCUUUAGUUAUUCCUAAGCGUUUUUUUUUCUUUAGAGCUAGUACUAAUGAAGAUUGAAGAGAUGAUUUUUCAAAGGUUCUUUUUAAAUGAUUUGCUGUGCUCUGUAUCAGUGUUUCAAAAGGAGUAAUCGCAGCACCUCAUUCUCAGAGAAUGGGCAUGCCUCCAGUUAAUGCUAAUGAAAUGGAUUGUCCUCAAUUCUAACCUCUAUUGUAGGCUUCUCAUUUAAGUUUGUCUCACCUAGUAAUGCUAGUAACUGCUAGCGUGUGUUACUAAUAAAACUUGUAUAGAAGAUGUCAGACGCAGGUACAUUUGAUACAUUUUGGAGUAGACAAGUUAUAGCUAUACCACCACAGGAACAGGUCUCGAGGAGUCUACAAAGAAGAAAUCUUUUCAAUUACUGUAUAUGAAAAAGAAAGAAAUAGUAAUUGUGAAAUAGUAAUUGUGAGUGCUCAUUACAAGGCUGAUGGCUGGAACAUUAAGGACACAUUACUGUGGUUAAAAAAAAUAGAAACUGUGUGAUUGAAACACUGAAAGUUACAAUGUGCAUUUUUGACAUUAAUGAUGUUUUUAUAAAUGGAGAGUGGUUGUCAAAAUAGUUCUCGGCUAUGUCUGCUUUUCGUGUUCACCUGUUCACAACCACCCUUUCCUUGUGCCUUGGCUAUUUAACCAAACUAAAGGGACCCAACUCACUCUACAGCACUGGUUCUCAACCUUCCUAACUCUGUGACCCUUUAAUAUGGUUCCUCACGUGCCGGUUAUCCACAACUAUAAAAUUAUUUUUGCUGCUACUUCAUAGCUGUAAUUUUGAUACUGUUGUGAAUCAUAUGAUACAAAUAUUUUUGUUUCCUGGUAGUCUUAAGGUGACCCCUGUGAAAGGGUCUUUGGACCACAAAGGGGCCAUGACCCGCAGGUUGAGGACCACUGCUUUAAGCUGCUAUCUCUACACUCAUCUCUGAACCUCAAGGACAAGGAAUGGGAAAUACGUGUUAUUGUGAGGAUUGGAUGCUGUGGCAGUGAUCAUCCAGAGCUGGUCCUAGAUGAGGAAUGAUAUGGGCCCUUCACCCCCCAAAUCAAAUCCAUGUGGACACUCUAGACAGGGAAGAAAUCCAUCCUAAAGUGGUUGUAUAGCUUUCAGAAUUAAUCACAGCUUUUUUUCUUUGCUCAGUGACUCUCAGGGAAAUCUCUCCAGACUCCAGGUGCAGUGGUCCGUAGAAGCUCUGGCGGCAAAGCUGAGCACCCACCCAGCCAAGUCACAAGUUAAGAGACAAGGUUCAUUGUCGUGCAUCUACUAAACAUUCAGGCUCAGCACCAAGAUCUUCUGGUGAAACAGAGCAAGAAACACAAAAUGAUAAAAAGCGCUUCUGCUCUUAUCUGGCUGGCGGGAUCAUGCCAGGCCAUGUGGCUACCAUCAUAGGGCAGGCGGGAGGUCUCAUCAUCGGCGGCCUGAGCAUCAUGGGCAUGUGGCCUCCCAUGGGCGGUCUCAUCCCAGGAGCUGGUCCCACGGACAUCAUCCCAGGCGGAGGGAGAGCCCAUCACUGGCAUCAUGGGCGGGCCUCCCAUGUGGGGUGCAGGCAUACUGUCAGGCGGAGGAGGACCUGGGAGACUGGAGGGAGGUGGGAUCAUGGUCCCAGCAGGCGAAGGAGCAGAGAAUGGAGCCCGGAGGGAAUUUCCUUGUUGAAAUGCAGCCGUUGUUUCGUCAGCUCUGGCAAGCUCUUCCAUCCAUUUCUGGGAAUAGUCUUUCACAUUCUUGUUUCCGACCACUGCGGUGUGUCUUCCUCACAGACAGAGAAUCGUGGGUAAGAUACAUACCACAGUAGUCAUAAUAAAACGUAGGCAGGUUGCUCCUCAAGCCCUUGUCUAUCAGGGUCCCCGCCACAAGGAACUGACGCCGGAUUUUUCACUACAUAUGAGAUGAAGGUGUUGAGUCUGUCCCUGAAUAGAGCUGUGCACAUAUUGUCCAAGUUGGAGAGAGUGAUGCAUUAAGUCUCUAUCAAGAACUCAGUGUCUCUGCUUUCAUUAUUCAGUUUAUGAGUGAUUUUUCUCAUAGGGCGGCAUGUGGUAGACUUCCAAUAGGCAUUUUUAAAUCGAAUGAAUUGGUGUUAAAAAGAAAGUAUUAUAUGUAUUUCAAAAACUAUCUAAAAAGCUCCCAUUUAAUCAUCUAACUCUGAAGUAAGAUAUAGUCCUAAAAUAGCAACCAGUGAAGAGAGUGGAUUCAGAUGUGGAGGCUGCGAGUGGCCUUGACGUGUUUACUGGAGUCACACGGUUACCCUGGUUACUGAUGGUUUUGCUCAUUCCAUUUGGCUGGCUGAUUUGACCAAACAUCGUUUCAACAUCUUUUCAGACUGGCCUGCGAAAUGGGAUAAGUACUGUUUAGGAGAGUUAAAACUCGAGUAAUGUCG
rnacentral:lncRNA from 1 species